rnacentral:lncRNA from 1 species
CAAUUUCAAUUUGUGUUAUUGACAAGGGUUAAUUGCCCUGCAAACGUAAUAAAUUACAAAUAUAUUCUUAUAAAGUUUAAUUUUCAUAUAUUGUCAUUACAAAAGUUCUAAUAUUUUAAAAUAUGUCCCUCUAACUUGUUAUUGUUAUAUAACUAUUUAUUUUUUAACAGCAAAUAAGUAAAAUAUCAAUUUUGCUAUCAUAAAUAUGUUCAUCCAAAAGUCCCAACUGCUAUAAUCGUACAAAAAUGCCUCUCUGAAAAAUUUUCAAUGGUCAUCCACUAUUGUUGCAACCUCUUCUCUCACCCCUUUUCUCAUACUUUUUUUAAGCAAAUAGGAAAAAAUUAUAGAGAAAAUUGUGGAAAACAUGCAACACGCAUUCGACAUGCAUAUGGAUGAAGCAACACGCGUUGUAGAUAAAUGGGAAUGAAAAAAUUCUAAAUAUAGGUUUGAAACUAGCAUGCAAGAGAGAGAGGAAAAGGAAGAUAAGGAAGAAGAAGAGUUUUCAUUAUUAGAAUUUUAAUUGAGAGAAGAAAGUAUAAUAUAAGAGGGGUACUUUACUGACUAAUUAGAAUUAAGUAUUUUAUCAAUGAUUAACUAAAUUUUUCUAACGAAACCUAACGGCAGAAACAAUUUUAAAAAUAUUAGAACUUAAAAUAUAUAUAUAUAUAUAUAUAAAAGUUUAAUUUUAUAAGUAUAUAUUUGUAAUUUAUUGUGUUUGCGUGGAGCUGUUAAUAU